GCUGGGCAUGGUGGUGCAUGCCUGUGGUCCCAGCUGCUCAGGAGGCUGAGGUGGGAGGAUAGCUUGAGCUCAGGAGGUCAAGGCUGCAGUGGGCUGUGAUCGUGCCACUGCACUCUAGCCUGGGUGACAGAGUAAGACCCUGUCUCAA
ensembl:misc_RNA Metazoa_SRP Metazoan signal recognition particle RNA